AGGACAGGAAGUGACUGCGCUGAAAAUGCCACAUGUACCAACAUAGAAGGGUCGUUCUUCUGUCUGUGUAACCAUGGAUUCACUGGAGACGGUUUGAUUUGUACAGAUAUCGAUGAAUGUGCUGAGGACACAAAUAUCUGCCACACAAACGCGACCUGCAGGAACACUGACGGGUCUCAUUCCUGUGUGUGUGAUGUCGGAUUUGUCGGAAACGGUACAACUUGCACAGAUAUUGACGAGUGUAGUGACGGUGUACACAUCUGUCAUCCUAACGCCACAUGUAUCAACACUGUCGGUACUUUCUCAUGCGAGUGCAACAACGGAUACACAGGAGAUGGAACCUCGU